rnacentral:misc_RNA from 1 species
UCUCCGUUGGUGAACCAGCGGAGGGAUCAUUGCUGGAACGCGCCCCAGGCGCACCCAGAAACCCUUUGUGAACUUAUACCUAUUGUUGCCUCGGCGCUAGCUGGCCCUUCGGGGCCCCUCACUCCGGUGAGGAACGGCGCGCCGGUGGCCCAUUCAACUCUGUUUCUUAGUGAAUCUCUGAGUAAAAAAACAAAUGAAUCAAAACUUUCAACAACGGAUCUCUUGGUUCUGGCAUCGAUGAAGAACGCAGC